GGGAUUCCCGGCCCAAUAAAAAAUUCUUUUAUUUAUCCUUGCGGGACUGACGGGGCUCGAACCCGCAACA
rnacentral:tRNA from 1 species